GAAAUAAGUGCGAGCCAGAUGUGGAUUUCUAGCAUGAAUGAAGAGGGGCGCGCAGUUAAUGCGAUGGAAGCGGGUUGGCAGGUAAAUCCAGCAUUGUACGGCGAUGAAAACACGAGACUCUUUAUUUAUUGGACUGGUGAUGGGUACGACAAAACAGGCUGUUAUGACCUCAAAUGUGAGGGCUUUGUCCAAACCAGUAGCAAGACCGCUGUUGGUGCGGCCUUCAAC